rnacentral:lncRNA from 1 species
GGGAGGUAGCACGGGAUAUGCUCGGGGUAGCCAAGGGCUAUUCAGGCAGACAUCAGGGUGACAGUGGUGGAACGAUGUAGUCGAAGGAAAAUUGGAGGUGAAGAAGGCGGCGUUUACUAAGUUGGCAAGGAGAACAAACGAGGAAGAACGGAGAGCGAACAUGGAGAUCUACAAGGUGGCGAGGAAAGAAGCAAAGCUGGC